GUCUGAGUUUUCAGACUGACAGCAAAAGAACAGAGUUCUGGAAUUCUGAGGGAGCCGCUACUGUUGAAGAGAGACAGUUAAGCCUAGGGCUGUGGCUUUUUCCCUCUGGGUGGAUGUGAGGAGAAUUAGCUUUUCCUUGUGCCAUUUGAUAGCUUAUUCAUCACAUCUUACUGUUGUUUGGAUUAUCCUGUAUCUGUUGGCCUUUUGACAUCUACUGAGCUCCUGUACUGUGACAACUAACAGCUGAUUUGCCAAGGAGCCAUGGUUAGUCUGUAUCACAGUGAACAUUUGGAUGCUAAGCUUCUGAGUUCCCUGCCGUUUUCCAAGUGAAAAGAGAGUUGAAGAUUGUGGAGAGAUCGUGACUUACUAGAGGAUUCUCGCCCCUUAGUCCACUAGAGCUGAGAUGGCUAGCUUAUAGUGCUGGGGAAAUCGUAGUAAGAAGCAGUGAUUGUCAGGGAUUGUCAUUCCCAGCAGCCAUCAGUAGCCACCACAGGAGCAGCAAGGAGCAAAUAUGCAUCAAGAAAAACAUCAGUCCUGAAACCCUGUAAUGGUGGUUUUGGGUAGUCGAGGAAAGGACGAACUGGAUGGCUUCAGAAAAAUCUGUGAAGAUUUGUGUGAACUAACUCAGAGUAAAAUAAGCAUAACCAGGAGGCCACUGGACUCAGGAACAGCGAUAUUGAAGCAAGACCGUGCUAAAGGACUCAUGAUUGUAAAGUGAUGCUUCUUCCAAAACAGGAAUGAGUAGCUUCCAUUCUAUCAAGGUCACUGGACCAAAUUUCCAGAAGCAGCUAGCCUUGAAUUCAAGGUAUCCCUAGAUGGGAAUUAAAAAGAGAAGCAAAUGGAAAGGCUAUCUUAUAAUUAAACAUGUUGGUCAAAGCAAACAACAGUUGGGUAAAACAGAACUUGACAUCCCUUACCCAUUUGUGAAGAUGAAUUGGGAAAUGAAAAUACAUCAGCCUGAACUUGUCCUUAAGCCAUGACAAGAGAGCAUGCAGAGCUCUCACUGAGCUGAUGACAGUCUAUUAAAGUACUUUGAAAGUUAGAAUAAUUGUUGUUUUUAAUCCAAAUGUAAUUAAUGGGCCCAAUUCCAGUUACAUAAGAACAACUCAAAUAAUCCUUUGAUGAAAAUGAAAUGCUUCCAAGAAUGCUAUGGGGGUGGGAGGGAAGACCUAAAAUUGGAUGCUAAUUCAUUGAGAAUUAAAGGAAAACUUUACUCAAUGCCCUCAGGCAGUACCCUUGGCAUUUUGUGUCUACUCUUCUUUUCUUCUAGGCUACUCUAACUUGACAUACAAUUUGUCCUACUCUUGGCUUGUCAUUAUAAAGGUUGUGUCUACACAGGCAAAUUAUCUGGAGAGUUGAAUCCAGAAAAAAAAAAAGGAAGUUUUAACUACAUCUAUAUGAUCAUGAUUUGCUUGGAUGGAAUGGAAAAUUGUAGUUUAGUUGGUCAGCUAAAGAGUUCAGACCUGUCACAGGUAAGGAGUCCCUUACUCCUGAAAGAUCAGUAAUUACUGAGGUGUUUGUGCAUGAGGGAGACUUGUUUAUACUUUGCUAACAAUAGCAGCUAGCAGCUAGAUUCACUUAUUAAGCACUGUGUGCAAUCCAAAAGACAGUAUAGUAUAGGAGUUGGCCUUGGAGUCAAGAAGAUCUAGAUUCAGUGGCUACCUUGACAUAUACAAAAACAGAGUGCUGCCAUUUAAAGUUUAUGCCUCUGAGCAAUUCUGUAAGGCUAUGCCUCACAGAAAAGUCUACAUCUGCAUCCGGGAAGGGAGUUUCUAUCCUGAGAGCUCAUUAUGCCAGGGAAAUCACAAACUAGGACCAAACAAAUAAACAUUUAUGUGUUAUGUCUAACUGGUAUUUU
ensembl:lncRNA